UUAAAAAGAAUUGAUAUAAGGAAAUUUAUUUGGAGAUUUAUCUAUUUUGAUUAUGGUGUUUAUAUUAUGUAAGAUUUAGAUAUUUAGUAUAAAGCUUAAGAGAGGGUUGGAAUUUAAAGAUGAAAGUAUAAACUAUUAGAAGGCUUAUUGGAAAGGAUGAAAGCAAAGUAUGGUUGGAUGAAGGCAAGGGGUGAAGACCUUCAUUCCUAUUGGUCGAAUGUCAUGCCCAAUGGGCUUUAAGGAGGCUGCCCAAGGCCUUAUUAGGGAUUAGGGUUUUACUUUUGGAGGCAUUUGAGCUUUGGAGGCUAGAAUCAGCAAGUUCAGGGCUUUGGAUAUAAUUUGGGUGAAGAGUUUAUAUGACUUUGAGUUUUUGUGAAAGAGAUAUAGGUGUUCAAAGU
rnacentral:lncRNA from 1 species